CUCUCUUCCUUCUGAUUCUCCGAUCUGGUGAUGUCGGUGGUGAAGAUCUUCGAUUAGAUCUCGGAGGAAAGGAGAAAGCAAGAGGAUAAAGUGAAGAGGAUGCAUCAACGGGAGGAACAUUUUAAGCGUGUUAAGAUCUUCGGAUGAUCAUGAACCCUGAAAGGAGGCAGACCAUCGACACCUACAUUGAUGGAGUAGCUGCAGCUGCUAGGAAGUGCGAUGUUGGGGAAGAAGAGGAGAGUUAUGAGAUCGGUUGCAGUGAGGUGGACCACGAAGGCAGCAGCGGGACACGGGGGCGUGGCAUCAAGCUCUGGUAUCCCAGUACCAUUGCGACGGUCAGAGACGGUAGUUAUGGAUAUCACGGUUUUGAUGAUUAUGCAGAAAACAUAGAGGGUCGCUGGUUCAGGGGCACUGGGGCUGUAGUUCAGAGAUUCAAAUCUAGGUACAGUU